ACGGAAGGCAGCAGUGAGGAAUAUUGGUCAAUGGACGCAAGUCUGAACCAGCCAUGCCGCGUGCAGGAAUAAGGCCCUAUGGGUCGCAAACUGCUUUUGUGGUGGAGCAAUAAGUCGUACGUGUACGGCGAUGAGAGUACAUCACGAAUAAGCAUCGGCUAACUCCGUGCCAGCAGCCGCGGUAAUACGGAGGAUGCAAGCGUUAUCCGGAUUUAUUGGGUUUAAAGGGUGCGUAGGCUGUGGUCCAAGUCAGGGGUGAAAGCCCGGAGCUCAACUCCGGAACUGCCUUUGAUACUGGAUUGCUGGAAUACGGAUGCCGUGGGAGGAAUGAGUAGUGUAGCGGUGAAAUGCAUAGAUAUUACUCAGAACACCGAUUGCGAAGGCAUCUCACGAAUCCGUCAUUGACGCUGAGGCACGAAAGCGUGGGGAUCAAACAGGAUUAGAUACCCUGGUA
rnacentral:rRNA from 1 species